GAAUCUGAGGGACUUAUGGGCAAGGCAUGGGGUAUUUUGUGUAAAUAUGAGAAAUUAGGAGGGUUUGGUGUAAAAACACCAAACCCUAUACCUGCUUUCUUAGAAUUGGCGCCUCCUUCAUUCGGCCCUUCCCCAUUCACGCCAAUCUCCUUAAUUCGGCCUCCUCCAAUCUGCCCAGACUCCGGCGACCGGUCCACAGCCACCGCCGCUGCCUCUUCUUCCUUGGUAAAAUUGCUGCUGUUUGACGGAAGUGAACUCUUGAGGGCUGCGAAUCUGAUGAACAGUUCGUCAUCCGCCGCUUUGCUGUCGCCGGCGUGAGCUUCUUUUGGGGAAUUCUUGAGGGCCAGGAAACGGCGGUCGAGAUCUGGGUCGAUGGCGGCGGCGCCGGAGCCGCGCGCCAUGUGGGAAUCGACGCUGAGUUUGAGAAGCACGUCAUCCUGCGCUGCUCCACCUCAUCGUCGUCGCUCGCUUUCUUCCCUUUGGCAAUUUUGUGAUUGUUUUCCCACCACUCCAGUGUGUUGCCUGGACCGGCGGCGGUGUGUGGCGGUUGGACCUCAGGCCGCUGAGUAGGGCGGUGGGUGGCGGCGAGUCCGGCUCCGACCCCUCCCGAUGAUGAGGCGUCGAUGUCGGAGCGAUUGGUUGCCGGCUGCAAGUUUUGUAGUCGGGCGGCCUCCCUUUUCACUUUUGAGAACGCCGACUCGACUGAGGUAACGAGAACUUUCUUGAGAAUGUCCCGACAAAGUUUAUCAUAUCUGCCAUCUAAUCCAGGGAGGAACUGAAAUAAUCGGCAAUUUCCGAUUAAUUUUCGGUGCUUAUUAAUCCCUUCUUCAUUGCAGUUGAUUGGAUUUGGGUCUCUUCGACCCAUUCUGUGGAUUCUGUUUGGAUUUGGGUUAUUUGAAUCUGUUUGGUUUAUGGUUUCAAUCUCUCCUGGCAUUUUUUUUUUCAGGAAAUGAAGAACAGAGGCUGCCUUGAUUUGGUGAAUUGGCUAAGAAAGGUUUUGGUUUGGGAUUAUGAACGAUGAUGAUUUGUUUCUGAGUUCCUAGGAUUGAACUUGCUCUGAUACCAUGUUAAAACAUGGUAUUAUCAUAAUGCAUAGAGAAAGAUAAAGAGAAGCUAAAGAUUGUUAUUGUAUUUCUUGAUAUUGCUUGCUAUUUCUUUAGAUUACAAUGCAUCCUUUUAUAGUGUAAGGAUGAAUCAAAUGUCAAACUAAAAUCCCUUAAAAUCAAAAGCUAAGAUUUUGUCUUUGAAUUAUUAUUCAUGAUCUUUGAAUAAUAAUCUUUGACUUAUUCUUUUUCUUAUUUUCA
rnacentral:lncRNA from 1 species